AUUCUCCUGGGGUGUUUGCCAGUUCAGUUUUGUCCCUGGCCGAUGCUAUUUAACCUGGAAAUUGAUUCCACUACUAUUGUGCAAGCUUGGCUAGUAUCAAGACGCCUACGGUAGUGAUGAUGUUUCCGCCCUGAACUUUCGGUUCACGGGCCCACACCGAACAGCGGCAUUUUGGGAGAUUC
rnacentral:other from 2 species